rnacentral:rRNA from 1 species
GGUUAAGUUAGAAAGGGCGCACGGUGGAUGCCUUGGCACUAGGAGCCGAAGAAGGACGGGACUAACACCGAUAUGCUUUGGGGAGCUGUACGUAAGCGUUGAUCCAGAGAUUUCCGAAUGGGGGAACCCACUAUCUUUAGUCGGAUAGUAUCCUUACGUGAAUACAUAGCGUGAGGAAGGCAGACCCAGGGAACUGAAACAUCUAAGUACCUGGAGGAAGAGAAAGAAAAAUCGAUUUCCUGAGUAGCGGCGAGCGAAACGGAAAGAGCCCAAACCAAGAAGCUUGCUUCUUGGGGUUGUAGGACACUCUAUACGGAGUUACAAAAGAAAGUUAUAAAUGAAGCGGUCUGGAAAGGCCCGCCAAAGACGGUAACAGCCCGGUAGUUGAAAUGGCUUUCCCUCCAGAGUGGAUCCUGAGUACGGCGGAACACGUGAAAUUCCGUCGGAAUCCGGGAGGACCAUCUCCCAAGGCUAAAUACUCCCUAGUGACCGAUAGUGAACCAGUACCGUGAGGGAAAGGUGAAAAGCACCCCGGAAGGGGAGUGAAACAGUUCCUGAAACCGUGUGCCUACAAGUAGUUAGAGCCCGUUAAUGGGUGAUAGCGUGCCUUUUGUAGAAUGAACCGGCGAGUUACGAUUUGUUGCAAGGUUAAGCGGAAAAAGCGGAGCCGUAGCGAAAGCGAGUCUGAAUAGGGCGCAUAAGUAACAGGUCGUAGACCCGAAACCAGGUGAUCUACCCAUGUCCAGGAUGAAGGUAAGGUAAUACUUACUGGAGGUCCGAACCCACGCACGUUGAAAAGUGCGGGGAUGAGGUGUGGGUAGCGGAGAAAUUCCAAUCGAACUUGGAGAUAGCUGGUUCUCUCCGAAAUAGCUUUAGGGCUAGCCUCGAGGUAAAGAGUCAUGGAGGUAGAGCACUGUUUGGACUAGGGGCCCUUCUCGGGUUACCGAAUUCAGAUAAACUCCGAAUGCCAUGUACUUAUACUCGGGAGUCAGACUGCGAGUGAUAAGAUCCGUAGUCGAAAGGGAAACAGCCCAGACCACCAGUUAAGGUCCCCAAAUAUAUGUUAAGUGGAAAAGGAUGUGGGGUUGCUUAGACAACCAGGAUGUUGGCUUAGAAGCAGCCACCAUUGAAAGAGUGCGUAAUAGCUCACUGGUCGAGUGACCCCGCGCCGAAAAUGUACCGGGGCUAAACAUAUUACCGAAACUGUGGAUGAACCUCUUUAGAGGUUCGUGGUAGGAGAGCGUUCUAAGGGCGGUGAAGUCAGACCGGAAGGACUGGUGGAGCGCUUAGAAGUGAGAAUGCCGGUAUGAGUAGCGAAAGAAGGGUGAGAAUCCCUUCCACCGAAUAUCUAAGGUUUCCUGAGGAAGGCUCGUCCGCUCAGGGUUAGUCGGGACCUAAGCCGAGGCCGAUAGGCGUAGGCGAUGGACAACAGGUAGAGAUUCCUGUACCAGUGCUAAUUGUUUAACCGAUGGGGUGACACAGAAGGAUAGGGAAUCGCACGAAUGGAAAUGUGCGUCCAAGCAGUGAGUGUGAGAAGUAGGCAAAUCCGCUUCUCGCGAAGCAUGAGCUGUGAUGGGGAAGGAAAUUAAGUACGGAAGUUCCUGAUUUCACGCUGUCAAGAAAAGCCUCUAGGAAGAGUAGUACUGCCCGUACCGCAAACCGACACAGGUAGAUGAGGAGAGAAUCCUAAGGUGAGCGAGAGAACUCUCGUUAAGGAACUCGGCAAAAUGACCCCGUAACUUCGGGAGAAGGGGUGCUCUAUUAGGGUGCAAGCCCGAGAGAGCCGCAGUGAAUAGGCCCAGGCGACUGUUUAGCAAAAACACAGGUCUCUGCAAAACCGUAAGGUGACGUAUAGGGGCUGACGCCUGCCCGGUGCUGGAAGGUUAAGAGGAGUGCUUAGCUUCGGCGAAGGUACGAAUUGAAGCCCCAGUAAACGGCGGCCGUAACUAUAACGGUCCUAAGGUAGCGAAAUUCCUUGUCGGGUAAGUUCCGACCCGCACGAAAGGCGCAACGAUCUGGGCACUGUCUCAACGAGAGACUCGGUGAAAUUAUAGUACCUGUGAAGAUGCAGGUUACCCGCGACAGGACGGAAAGACCCCGUGGAGCUUUACUGCAACCUGAUAUGGAAUGUUUGUACCGCUUGUACAGG